rnacentral:SRP_RNA from 1 species
GCGGGGCGUGGGGGGUGUGCUGAGGUGGGAGGAUCGCUUGAGUCCAGGAGUUCUGGGUUGCAGUGCGCCAUGCCGAUCCUGUCGCACUAUGUUCGGCAUCAAUAUGGUGACCUCCUGGGAGCGGGGGACCACCAGGUUGCCUAAGGAGGAGUGAACAGGCCCAGGUCAGAAACGGAGCAGCUCAAAACUCCCGUGCUGUACUGAAUAGGAGCGGUGAUAUUGGACAUCCUCGUCUUGCUCCUGAUUCUAGAGUGAAAACUUUCA